rnacentral:rRNA from 1 species
CAAACUUGAGAGUUUGAUCCUGGCUCAGAACGAACGCUGGCGGCAUGCCUAACACAUGCAAGUCGAACGAACCCUUCGGGGUUAGUGGCGCACGGGUGCGUAACGCGUGGGAACCUGCCUUUAGGUUCGGAAUAACUCAGAGAAAUUUGAGCUAAUACCGGAUAAUGUCUUCGGACCAAAGAUUUAUCGCCUUUAGAUGGGCCCGCGUUAGAUUAGAUAGUUGGUGGGGUAAUGGCCUACCAAGUCGACGAUCUAUAGCUGGUCUG